rnacentral:rRNA from 1 species
UUCCGGUUGAUCCUGCCGGAGGUCACCGCUAUUGGGAUUCGAUUAAGCCAUGCGAGUCGAGAGGGUUCGGCCCUCGGCAGACUGCUCAGUAACACGUGGAUAAUCUGCCCUUAGGUGGAGGAUAAUCUCGGGAAACUGAGGAUAAUACUCCAUAGAUCUAAGAUGCUGGAAUGCGCUUAGAUUAAAAGUUCCGGCGCCUAAGGAUGAGUCUGCGGACUAUCAGGUAGUAGUCAGGGUAACGGCCUGACUAGCCUACAACGGAUACGGGUUGUGAGAGCAAUAACCCGGAGACGAUAUCUGAGACACGAUAUCGGGCCCUACGGGGCGCAGCAGGCGCGAAACCUUCACACUGUGCGAAAGCGCGAUGAGGGGAUCCCAAGUGCUUGCACGUAAGUGUAAGCUGUUUCUUUGUUUAAAACGCAGAGAGAGGAAGGGCUGGGUAAGACGGGUGCCAGCCGCCGCGGUAAUACCUGCAGCUCGAGUGGUGACCGCUAUUAUUGGGCCUAAAACGUCCGUAGCCGGCUGAGUAAAUGCUUGGGUAAAUCGUGCCGCUUAACGGUACGAAUUCCGGGUAAACUGCUCAGCUUGAGAUCGGGAGAAGCUAGAGGUACUCCUGGGGUAGAGGUGAAAUUCUGUAAUCCUGGGGGGACCACCAGUGGCGAAGGCGUCUAGCUAGAACGAGUCUGACGGUGAGGGACGAAACCCUGGGGCGCAAACCGGAUUAGAUACCCGGGUAGUCCAGGGCGCAAACGCUGCUUGCUUGAUGUUAGCUGGGCUCCGAGCUCAGCUAGUGUCGGAGAGAAGUUGUUAAGCAAGCUGCCUGGGAAGUACGAUCGCAAGAUUGAAACUUAAAGGAAUUGGCGGGGGAGCACAGCAACGGGAGGAGCGUGCGGUUUAAUUGGAUUCAACGCCGG